rnacentral:rRNA from 1 species
GAUGAACGCUGGCGGCGUGCCUAAUACAUGCAAGUCGAGCGAACAGACGAGGAGCUUGCUCCUCUGACGUUAGCGGCGGACGGGUGAGUAACACGUGGAUAACCUACCUAUAAGACUGGGAUAACUUCGGGAAACCGGAGCUAAUACCGGAUAAUAUAUUGAGCCGCAUGGUUCAAUAGUGAAAGACGGUUUUGCUGUCACUUAUAGAUGGAUCCGCGCCGCGUUAGCUAGUUGGUAAGGUAACGGCUUACCAAGGCAACGAUGCGUAGCCGACCUGAGAGGGUGAUCGGCCACACUGGAACUGAGACACGGUCCAGACUCCUACGGGAGGCAGCAGUAGGAAAUCUUCCGCAAUGGGCGAAAGCCUGACGGAGCAACGCCGCGUGAGUGAUGAAGGUCUUCGGAUCGUAAAACUCUGUUAUUAGGGAAGAACAAAUGUGUAAGUAACUAUGCACGUCUUGACGGUACCUAAUCAGAAAGCCACGGCUAACUACGUG